CCUUUCCCUCCCUCGAUCCAAACACGACUCUUCCAAUUCCGACAUCUGACGCGAUCAUUGGCUUUCGCCUCCCUUUUGCCACUUCGAUCGCAGCCCCUCAACCCCUCGCCGCCGAAAUCAAUGCUCCAAGGCCCGUCAAAUGCUCCACUGCUCCACUGCUCCAAUCCUUCCCCAAGAGCUACAGGGCCCGAAACGCCUCGAUCCGGCCGGAGCCUCCCUUCCGCUGCGAUCGGGCGGCCUAAAGCUUGAAUUGGCGCCACCAAUCUUCUCAGAUACACGACCCCCACCCCCCGGAUUGUCCGCUGGUCAAGGGUUCCUGAAACGUUACAAUUGAGUUCUCAGGGGCAGUUAAUCGUUGACCAAGUGGUCCACCAGGAACCCGCAGGAGCGUCGACUUUUGGGAUGCGAUUCGAGGUAUGGAGCUCGUUUGAGUUAUAAAAAACCGGAUUUUGAUGGUUUCCGUGGAUGUACGAGAGUUCUUCAAGCAAAGCAAUUUCCUUCAGUAUAUUAGACCUGAAGUCUGAACUCAUCUUGGAAGAAUGCAUCUUGCUUAACAAGCAACAACGGAAAAGAAGAGUGCUUACUUCUCCCUCAUCAUCAAAAUCAUUGUUACUGGAACCAGACUUUGCUGUCUCUCCAAGUUCAUCAUUCUUUGCAAACCGCCCACGGACUCUUGGUCUGCUGUCUGCUAGAGUUUUUCUACAAGCAUACUGCAGGUAUUGUGAUCAACUUGGCUGUUAGAGGAUGAAAUCAUUUAGGCUUACAUCUCAUGACCAGUUAAAUUAGUUUUGAUGCCAUCGAUUUUUACCUUGAUCUUUUUGCUGAAGUUUCUCUCAGCUCUCUUCUUCAUGUAUCUGUCGAUCUUCUCCUUCCUCUCCUCCACUGACAGGCGCCCUACUUUGAAGCUGGAAUCAUCCAUUGCCGAUAUAUCAGUAGCUGCCAGAGGUGUUGGGCUGCAGCCACUUCCCGCCAUCGGCACCUUUACCCGGCAAAUGAGACUUUUAAUAGAAGGCCAAGAUAUAAGGUGCCAAAUUACUGUCAUGAUUUGACAAUUUGUACUUGGCGUGCUGAAUCUAUUUGUUGGUGAUGUGGUCAAACAUAAAUAAUAGGCUUCGAUUCCCAAAUCUUGUGUAGAAUAAUGGUUUAACAGAUCAGGCAUCUGAAAACUUUUGUCAAAGGAGUGCUGCUGGAGAGAUACUAUUCCCGUCUCUAAUAAUUGGUUGUUCAACAGUUCAGGCA